CUACCCAAUCAUGCAGUGGUCUAGCAGGUGGUGGCGUGAUUUUGGAGUUCGGUGGUUGGACCAUCGUUGAGUCAUGGAGGCAGCAACUAGGGGGUGGCUUCCGGUCCUGUUUCGGUACUCGGGUUGUAGUUGAUGGGGGUCGUAGACGUGCAUUUGGGAUAUUAUGACCGGAGCUCGCCGCGAUGGUCGUAAUUGCGGGACCAUGGGCGUCCUCAGUUUUAUAGGUUUUGUUAUGGCUUGUGACGCCUGUGUCACUUGUUUUUGUAUAAAGCCAACUUUGUUAUGUAUUUAUAUUGAGGAAAGACUUAAACACAUAGAUGGUAAAUGGCUCUUGUUAUUAAUUUAUGAUAGAUGUUUAAGAUGUGAUUUCCGCUA